rnacentral:rRNA from 1 species
UACGAAGGGGGCUAGCGUUGCUCGGAAUCACUGGGCGUAAAGCGCACGUAGGCGGACUCUUAAGUCGGUGGUGAAAUCCUGGAGCUCAACUCCAGAACUGCCUUCGAUACUGAGAGUCUUGAGUCCGGGAGAGGUGAGUGGAACUGCGAGUGUAGAGGUGAAAUUCGUAGAUAUUCGCAAGAACACCAGUGGCGAAGGCGGCUCACUGGCCCGGUACUGACGCUGAGGUGGCGAAAAGCGUGGGGAGCGAACAGG